GACGAACCGUGCGAACGUUGUUCGGAUUCACUGGGCUUAAAGUGUGCGCAGGCGGCCGCGCAAGUCGAGUGUGAAAUCCCCGAGCUUAACUUGGGAAUUGCGCUCGAAACUACGUGGCUGGAGUGUGGCAGAGGAAGGUGGAAUUCCACGUGUAGCGGUGAAAUGCGUAGAUAUGUGGAGGAACACCGAUGGCGAAGGCAGCCUUCUGGGCCAACACUGACGCUCAUGCACGAAAGCGUGGGGAGCAAACAGG
rnacentral:rRNA from 1 species